CUUAGGUCGGGGAUAAACCCGGGAAACUGGGUAUAAUACCCGAUAGAUCUCGACUGCUGGAAUGCAUCGAGAUCCAAAGCUCCGGCGCCUAAGGAUGGGUCUGCGGCCUAUCAGGUAGUAGUGGGUGUAGCGUACCUACUAGCCUACGACGGGUACGGGUUGUGAGAGCAAGAGCCCGGAGAUGGAUUCUGAGACACGAAUCCAGGCCCUACGGGGUGCAGCAGGCGCGAAAACUUUACAAUGCUGGAAACAGCGAUAAGGGGACCUCGAGUGCCAGGUUACAAAUCUGGCUGUCGUGAUGCCUAAAAAGCAUUGCAUAGCAAGGGCCGGGCAAGACCGGUGCCAGCCGCCGCGGUAACACCGGCGGCUCGAGUGGUAACCGUUAUUAUUGGGUCUAAAGGGUCUGUAGCCGGCCGGAUAAGUCUCUUGGGAAAUCCAGCAGCUCAACUGUUGGGCUUUCAGGAGAUACUGUCUGGCUCGAGGCCGGGAGAGGUGAGAGGUACUUCAGGGGUAGGGGUGAAAUCUUGUAAUCCUUGAAGGACCACCAGUGGCGAAGGCGUCUCACCAGAACGGACCUGACGGCAAGGGACGAAAGCUAGGGGCACGAACCGGAUUAGAUACCCGGGUAGUCCUAGCCGUAAACGAUACUCGCUAGGUGUCGGCCACGGUGCGACCGUUGUCGGUGCCGUAGGGAAGCCGUGAAGCGAGCCACCUGGGAAGUACGGCCGCAAGGCUGAAACUUAAAGGAAUUGGCGGGGGAGCACCACAACGGGUGGGGCUUGCGGUUUAAUUGGAUUCAACGCCGGAAAUCUUACCGGGACCGACAGCAAUAUGAAGGCCAGGCUGAAGACUUUGCCGGAUUAGCUGAGAGGAGGUGCAUGG
rnacentral:rRNA from 1 species